rnacentral:rRNA from 1 species
GGAGGGUGCAAGCGUUAAUCGGAAUUACUGGGCGUAAAGCGCGCGUAGGCGGCUCUUUAAGUCGGAUGUGAAAGCCCCGGGCUCAACCUGGGAACUGCAUCCGAUACUGGGAGGCUAGAGUGUAGGAGAGGGAGGUAGAAUUCCAUGUGUAGCAGUGAAAUGCGUAGAUAUGUGAGGAAUACCAGUGGCGAAGGCGGCUCUNUGGCUUAACACUGACGCUGAGGUCCGAAAGCGUGGGGAGCAAACGGGAUUAGAUACCCCGGUAGUCCACGCCGUAAACGAUGUCUACUAGCUGUAGGGUACUUGAGACCUUUGUAGCGCACGUAACGCACUAAGUAGACCGCCUGGGGAGUACGGCCUCAAGGUUAAAACUCAAAUGAAUUGACGGGGGCCCGCACAAGCAGUGGAGCAUGUGGUUUAAUUCGAUGCAACGCGAAGAACCUUACCAGGCCUUGACAUCCUCGGAACUUUCUAGAAAUAGAUUCCUGCUUCGGGAA